AACCCUAAGCUUUUUACUUUGUGUGAGUUGAUCAUGGACAGAUUUCUUCUUAAGGAAAUCACUGGAGAGACAUCAGCAAAUGACAUCAAGUCUGUCUCAUCUCCUGUCAUUCUUAAGGUGUUUUCUUCUUGGUUACUUGCAGUUAACUGGUCUUUCGCAUAGAUCAUCCAUGGGUUAGACCUGGGUCAGCUUUUUAGACUUAGAUAGGAGAAGGGCCUGCAGGAAGAUGAGACAAGGCUACGUUUCCAAAUUCACCACUGGUACCCAUGUGAGUGCAUCUAGAGAGAGAACACCUCACCCAAGAAGUAUGGUACAGACCUGGCCAAUAAUGGACAUCUCCACCUAUGUUCAGGAAAGACUUUUUUCUGGCUUUUUCCUACCAUUUCCAGAUGGUAAAAUAUUUCUAGUGCUGUGACAUAUUUAUUAUGACCCAAUCGUCUUGUCAAAUUCAUUGGUGGAUAAUUCCUAGAAAUCAGGGAAAGUCACCAAGUUGUAUUUACCUUCCCUUGACUGGUGGUAUUUCUAUCUUUGAUUCUUAGUACAGAGAAAGCAUGGAAUGAAGAGAAGUGAGUGUUCCUAUUGCUAGAAUCAUUUCAGAGGUGCACUACUAGGUACUUCGGGGAGUUCAAUUAAAAAAAGUUGAUGGAUCAAUAUGGAAGAAAAGGUAGAAGGUUAUUUGUAGUUAGGUACAUAUUAAGAAAUUGUACUUCCCUGAAUGAUGAGAGGAAUGAUGAUUAAAGGAAGAGGUGGAAUUUCCCGAAAUGGUGAAAUUCAUCUCUCAUCUGCCUUCCCCUUCUUUCCCCAUCCUGGCCCAUAGCACCAAGUCACUAGAAUUUAGGCAGCAUGUGGAAAAAGAAGUCCAUCUCUAAGGCAGAGUUGACUCGUUCAGCUUUCUCCUGUAUGGAGCAGUGGUGAUUCAUGCCUUCCUCCGCUGUCACACUGUCAGCAUCCGCUAAUCAUAGCCCCGUGAUCACAGGACUUGGGCACAUAAACAAUUUCCAGGAGGUUCAGAGCAGCCCAGGGACCUCGCAGGCAUAAACACCGGUUAUUCUGUAAUUCAUUACAUGCCCCUCCCCAUCAUCUUGACAUGUGCUUGAAAUAAUAGCUUUCCUUAAAACGUUUGAACAUGUUGGUGGACUAGAUCCUUUCACUGUCCUUGGUACACACAUUGUUGUCUUACUAAGUCUGCUUUUAAAUGGAACUCUUUGGCUGUCCUGCUGAAGCUCAGGGGGCGGGGGGAUGUGUUUCGUGAAGAAUAUCAAGAGGAUACAGUGAUGGGAUUUCAAACACAAAUUGGUUCUUCUUGUGCUUUGCAUGUAUAUGUUGUGAGAGGCGAGAGAGUGAGGCCCUUGAAUGCUAUUGUGAAGCAGACUGCAUAUAUUUGGUGCUUAAAUUUGUAUGUAUUUUUUUACACUAGUAAGUCAGGUCAUUUACCUCCCACUCUUCCUCAAACAGAUGUCUUUAGCAAACUUAAGUUCCUCCAGUCAGUCUGUUUAUUCAGCCUGAGGCAGGAAUCAAUAACUUCUAGUGACACUGACAGGAUUAGUUUCUAUAUUCAAUAAAUAUGUAUUUUUGAUUACCUACUGUGCCAUGCAUAACAAUAGACAUUGGAGAGUUUGCAGUUUCUGUUCCCAUAGGAUCUAGAAUUAAGAAACAUUUAUAUUUGAAACCACGAUUGUCCAGUGCCUACAGUAUCUGUUGGGUUGUUACAAAAAUGGCUGGUAGAUUUUAUAAAGUUUCUUAGUUAUAUUGAACUUCAAACAUAGAAGAAGAAAAUAUUAUCUGGUUCUUAUAUGUCUUAGCUGUGUGUCCUCAGUGAUUAGAAAAUGAGAAAGCUGUGUCUGUGUUGGCUCUUCCAGUGUCAAGUGUUAUCUUUACGAGGGAUUCUUAGCUGUAUAAGUUGUGUUUCAAAAUGAAGGCAAAAUUGCUAUACGUCAUCCCAAUAGACUAUGUAGGGAUUAAUGUUAUUCCUUUUUAUAGUCACAGGCUCAGCAUGUUUAGUUGAUUUAUCCAAAAUCAUUUAACUCUGUUGGUAUGGAGUAUAGGUUGCUAGAGCCUGGGUUUGAUCUCGUGAUAUAUUACUUUUACUUUUUCCUUUAUUCAUUAAUGAGAAUAGCAUCAAGUGUAAAGACAGGGCAAAUGUUUUGAUUUAGGAUCAUUUAUGGAACUUGAUGGAAUUUUAACUGUGCUUCCCAUAUCACGCACAUGAAUCAAACUCUAAUAUAAUACCUAUGAGAAACAUCAGGCAGAAGAAUUUCUGAGGCAUUUAACUGUGAUUUUAGAAGUCAUUAUUUUUCCCUGAUUAUGCCUCCCCCCACCCCAUGUUCUGGGACCCACUCAUAGUUUUAACAAUACCUUCAAAAUCUGUUUGUCCUGAAUAGAUGAUUCACACAUACUCAGAUAUGAAAAUAAGGAAAUGUUGAAAUGUAUUAAUUAUUAGCAAUAUACAAAUUUAAAUAAUAGAAUAAUAGAAAAGAAAAUAUCCAAAAUUAAAACUCAGUAAUUAUUCUAAUGAAAUAUCUCUCUUAUUUUCCUGUUGGUAGUUUAAAUUAGGAUAAAUCCAUAGGAAAAUAAUUUGGCGCCAUCAGGAGCCAGCAAAAUGCUCUUUGACCUCAUAAUCCCCUUUCUGGGAAUCUAUCCUAAGGAGCAAUCCAAACUAUGGAGAAAGCUACACCCCUGAAACAGCAGAAACCGCAUAUGUGCCUAACAACAGGGGCAUAGUCAAUUAAUUCUCUCUCUCUUUUUUUUUUUUUGCUGGAUAGAAUGAAUGACCGUUAAAAAGACCAGUGUAGUGACAUGAUACAGUUACUGACAAUGCAAAAUUAAAAUACAUACAAAUUUGUCUUAUAAUUACAAAUAGAAAAGCAGAUGCACAGGGAAAAUAUAAAAAAUAAAAAAGCUAGAGGAAACUUACCCUAAUACCAAGAGAAGUUUAGCUAGGGUCAUGGGACUUCUUGGUGGUUUUUUCUUUUUCUAUUUUCCAAAAUUUCAGUCAUGUUAUUUAUAUUACUUUUAUUCAAAUUCUUAAUAAAAAUAUGUCUAAUUGAGUUGUUCUCCACAGCUGUGUUGAAGCUGGCCGGUGGGUUUGGAAGUGAGUGGGAGGAAAGGGGUGGAGUUAGAGCCAGCAAGCAGAACCUGCCACAGAGAGGCCUGGCCUGUCCUCUUCACACAGCUGCCCACGGAGAGGGCCAGUUCCUGAGGGAAGUAUGUCUGCCAAAGCUCUGUAAAGACAUUUGUUAGCCGAAACUCUCACAAAGGUGACCUUUAUUCAUCUGCUUCUUCAUCUGAAAUACUGGAAUAAGAGGAUUUGUCCGAGUUCCUGGCAGCCUUGUUGCCAAGGCAAUGGUGGUAAUGCACAUGAACUUGCAUUGCGUGCCCUGUACCCCACUCUCUGUUAGUUGCUCUUGUUGUAAAAUAAUCCCAAUGGUAACAUUUGAAUCUUGGCU
rnacentral:lncRNA from 1 species